rnacentral:rRNA from 1 species
UUAACACAUGCAAGUCGAGGGGCAGCAUGGUCUUAGCUUGCUAAGGCCGAUGGCGACCGGCGCACGGGUGAGUAACACGUAUCCAACCUGCCGUCUACUCUUGGACAGCCUUCUGAAAGGAAGAUUAAUACAAGAUGGCAUCAUGAGUCCGCAUGUUCACAUGAUUAAAGGUAUUCCGGUAGACGAUGGGGAUGCGUUCCAUUAGAUAGUAGGCGGGGUAACGGCCCACCUAGUCUUCGAUGGAUAGGGGUUCUGAGAGGAAGGUCCCCCACAUUGGAACUGAGACACGGUCCAAACUCCUACGGGAGGCAGCAGUGAGGAAUAUUGGUCAAUGGGCGAGAGCCUGAACCAGCCAAGUAGCGUGAAGGAUGACUGCCCUAUGGGUUGUAAACUUCUUUUAUAAAGGAAUAAAGUCGGGUAUGGAUACCCGUUUGCAUGUACUUUAUGAAUAAGGAUCGGCUAACUCCGUGCCAGCAGCCGCGGUAAUACGGAGGAUCCGAGCGUUAUCCGGAUUUAUUGGGUUUAAAGGGAGCGUAGAUGGAUGUUUAAGUCAGUUGUGAAAGUUUGCGGCUCAACCGUAAAAUUGCAGUUGAUACUGGAUAUCUUGAGUGCAGUUGAGGCAGGCGGAAUUCGUGGUGUAGCGGUGGAAUGCUUAGAUAUCACGAAGACUCCGAUUGCGAAGGCAGCCUGCUAAGCUGCAACUGA